AUUGAACGCUGGCGGCAUGCCUUACACAUGCAAGUCGAACGGCAGCACGGGUGCUUGCACCUGGUGGCGAGUGGCGAACGGGUGAGUAAUACAUCGGAACAUGUCCUGUAGUGGGGGAUAGCCCGGCGAAAGCCGGAUUAAUACCGCAUACGAUCUACGGAUGAAAGCGGGGGACCUUCGGGCCUCGCGCUAUAGGGUUGGCCGAUGGCUGAUUAGCUAGUUGGUGGGGUAAAGGCCUACCAAGGCGACGAUCAGUAGCUGGUCUGAGAGGACGACCAGCCACACUGGGACUGAGACACGGCCCAGACUCCUACGGGAGGCAGCAGUGGGGAAUUUUGGACAAUGGGCGAAAGCCUGAUCCGGCAAUGCCGCGUGUGUGAAGAAGGCCUUCGGGUUGUAAAGCACUUUUGUCCGGAAAGAAAUCCUUGGCCCUAAUACGGUCGGGGGAUGACGGUACCGGAAGAAUAAGCACCGGCUAACUACGU
rnacentral:rRNA from 1 species